rnacentral:rRNA from 1 species
UACGUAGGUGGCAAGCGUUGUCCGGAUUUACUGGGCGUAAAGAGCGCGUAGGCGGUCUGUUAAGUGUAGAGUGAAAUCUCCAGGGCUCAACCCGGAAACUGCUCUGCAUACUGGCAGACUGGAGUGAUGCAGAGGUUUGUGGAAUUCCUGGUGUAACGGUGAAAUGUGUUGAUAUCAGGAGGAACACCCAUGGCGAAGGCAGCAAACUGGGCAUUAACUGACGCUGAGGCGCGAAAGCGUGGGUAGCGAACAGG